GAUAAAUAACUUUGUGUGGUGAUAUGUUACAGGUCCUUGAGGGAGAUGGAGGGAUAAAUAACUUUGUGUGGUGAUAUGUUACAGGUCCUUGAGGGAGAUGGAGGGAUAAAUAACUUUGUGUGGUGAUAUGUUACAGGUCCUUGAGGGAGAUGGAGGGAUAAAUAACUUUGUGUGGUGAUAUGUUACAGGUCCUUGAGGGAGAUGGAGGGAUAAAUAACUUUGUGUGGUGAUAUGUUACAGGUCCUUGAGGGAGAUGGAGGGAUACAUAACUUUGUGUGGUGAUAUGUUACAGGUCCUUGAGGGAGAUGGAGGGAUAAAUAACUUUGUGUGGUGAUAUGUUACAGGUCCUUGAGGGAGAUGGAGGGAUAAAUAACUUUGUGUGGUGAUAUGUUACAGGUCCUUGAGGGAGAUGGAGGGAUAAAUAACUUUGUGUGGUGAUAUGUUACAGGUCCUUGAGGGAGAUGGAGGGAUAAAUAACUUUGUGUGGUGAUAUGUUACAGGUCCUUGAGGGAGAUGGAGGGAUAAAUAACUUUGUGUGGUGAUAUGUUACAGGUCCUUGAGGGAGAUGGAGGGAUAAAUAACUUUGUGUGGUGAUAUGUUACAGGUCCUUGAGGGAGAUGGAGGGAUAAAUAACUUUGUGUGGUGAUAUGUUACAGGUCCUUGAGGGAGAUGGAGGGAUAAAUAACUUUGUGUGGUGAUAUGUUACAGGUCCUUGAGGGAGAUGGAGGGAUAAAUAACUUUGUGUGGUGAUAUGUUACAGGUCCUUGAGGGAGAUGGAGGGAUAAAUAACUUUGUGUGGUGAUAUGUUACAGGUCCUUGAGGGAGAUGGAGGGAUAAAUAACUUUGUGUGGUGAUAUGUUACAGGUCCUUGAGGGAGAUGGAGGGAUAAAUAACUUUGUGUGGUGAUAUGUUACAGGUCCUUGAGGGAGAUGAAGGGAUAAAUAACUUUGU